GAGGUGAAAGGUUAACUGCCUGAAGAGGAGCUCGCGUCUGAUUAGCUAGUUGGUGGGGUAAAAGCCUACCAAGGCGACGAUCGGUAGCUGGUCUGAGAGGAUGAUCAGCCACACUGGGACUGAGACACGGCCCAGACUCCUACGGGAGGCAGCAGUGGGGAAUUUUCCGCAAUGGGCGAAAGCCUGACGGAGCAAUACCGCGUGAGGGAGGAAGGCUCUUGGGUUGUAAACCUCUUUUGUCAGGGAAGAUGAUGAAGGUACCUGAGGAAUAAGCAUCGGCUAACUCCGUGCCAGCAGCCGCGGUAAUACGGAGGAUGCAAGCGUUAUCCGGAAUGAUUGGGCGUAAAGCGUCCGCAGGUGGCUAUGUAAGUCUGCUGUUAAAGAGCAAGGCUCAACCUUGUAAAGGCAGUGGAAACUACAUAGCUAGAGUGCGUUCGGGGCAGAGGGAAUUCCUGGUGUAGCGGUGAAAUGCGUAGAUAUCAGGAAGAACACCAGUGGCGAAAGCGCUCUGCUAGGCCGCAACUGACACUGAGGGACGAAAGCUAGGGGAGCGAAUGGGAUUAGAUACCCCAGUAGUCCUAGCCGUAAACGAUGGAUACUAGGCGUUGCUUGUAUCGACCCGAGCAGUGCCGUAGCUAACGCGUUAAGUAUCCCGCCUGGGGAGUACGCACGCAAGUGUGAAACUCAAAGGAAUUGACGGGGGCCCGCACAAGCGGUGGAGUAUGUGGUUUAAUUCGAUGCAACGCGAAUAACCUUACCAAGGCUUGACAUGUCGCGAAUCCCUUUGAAAGGAGGGAGUGCCUUCGGGAGCGCGAACACAGGUGGUGCAUGGCUGUCGUCGGCUCGUGUCGUGAGAUGUUGGGUUAAGUCCCGCAACGAGCGCAACCCUCGUUUUUAGUUGCCAGCACUUCGGGUGGGCACUCUAGAGAGACUGCCGGUGACAAACCGGAGGAAGGUGGGGAUGACGUCAAGUCAGCAUGCCCCUUACGCCUUGGGCUACACACGUACUACAAUGCUACGGACAGAGGGCAGCAAGCUAGCGAUAGCAAGCUAAUCCCGGAAACCGUAGCUCAGUUCAGAUCGCAGGCUGCAACUCGCCUGCGUGAAGGAGGAAUCGCUAGUAAUUGCAGGUCAGCAUACUGCAGUGAAUUCGUUCCCGGGCCUUGUACACACCGCCCGUCACACCAUGGAAGCUGGUCACGCCCGAAGUCGUUACCCCAACC
rnacentral:rRNA from 1 species